rnacentral:rRNA from 1 species
GACGAACGCUGGCGGCGUGCUUAACACAUGCAAGUCGAACGGAAAGGCCCUGCUUUUGUGGGGUGCUCGAGUGGCGAACGGGUGAGUAACACGUGAGUAACCUGCCCUUGACUUUGGGAUAACUUCAGGAAACUGGGGCUAAUACCGGAUAGGAGCUCCUGCUGCAUGGUGGGGGUUGGAAAGUUUCGGCGGUUGGGGAUGGACUCGCGGCUUAUCAGCUUGUUGGUGGGGUAGUGGCUUACCAAGGCUUUGACGGGUAGCCGGCCUGAGAGGGUGACCGGCAACAUUGGGACUGAGAUACGGCCCAGACUCCUACGGGAGGCAGCAGUGGGGAAUAUUGCACAAUGGGCGGAAGCCUGAUGCAGCAACGCCGCGUGCGGGAUGACGGCCUUCGGGUUGUAAACCGCUUUCGCCUGAGACGAAGCGUGAGUGACGGUAAUGGGUAAAGAAGCACCGGCUAACUACGUG